GUAGGGAAUAUUGCACAAUGGGGGAAACCCUGAUGCAGCGACGCCGCGUGAGUGAUGAAGGCCUUCGGGUCGUAAAGCUCUGUCGUAUGGGACUAACACAAUGAAGGUACCAUGCAAGAAAGGAUCGGCUAACUUCGUGCCAGCAGCCGCGGUAAGACGAGGGAUCCUAGCGUUGUUCGGAAUCAUUGGGCGUAAAGCGGGUGUAGGCGGAUUUAUAAGUCAGGUGUGAAAUCCAAGGGCUCAACCCUGGAAGUGCACUUGAUACUGUAAAUCUUGAGUGUGGUAGAGGUUACUGGAAUUGUUGGUGUAGUGGUGAAAUACGUAGAUAUCAACAGGAAUACCGGAGGCGAAGGCGAGUAACUGGGCCAGCACUGACGCUGAGACCCGAAAGCGUGGGGAUCAAACAGGAUUAGAUACCCUUGUAGUCC
rnacentral:rRNA from 1 species